GGUUCGACGCGCAUGCGCGGUGGGAGGAGGCUGCCGUGUUUUGGCGGGGUAUGGAAGCUUCACAAGGGCCAAAGCUUUUUGCUGGAAUAUUCUGAGAAGAGGACCUCUCAGGACCAAUUUGGCAGUUCUCUGAUACAGUGUGUCCGAGCACAGAGGGAGGACUUGAAAUCGCAGGGCUCGAGGAACCAGAUGUGGCCUCAGUGAAUGAUGAGAGGAACCGAGCACUCCCUAAGUGUGACCCCAACUCUACAGUAAGACAAGACUUAGAAUAAAAUUUUUGGAUGCACGUUAUGUACUAAAAUGAUUUGAACACUCAGAAAACUUCCAUAACAGGAGCCGUCUCUUGAUAGUUACAUUAUUCACCUCUUUUCUGUUUUUUGAUAAACUUGUUGUAAAUGAAAAUAAAGUUUAAGUGACUGUCAACUUGUGGAGCUAGACAAAACAUGAGCAGAUAAAGUACAUAAGGAAAGAAUAGCAUAGGCUGGAUCUUUGUUACACUUAUCCAACACCAUGUGCAUUGAAGAAAGCCUCUGACCAGACAAUAACAAUUAAUGAAGUUGAGAGCAAGAAGGUUUAUCACGCGUAAGGUCAUCCAGAUGGAGGAUUGUGCAGUCACUGUCAGCUUCUUUUCCUCUGCAGGUCAGACCUGUAUCAUUGGAGGAAGGAAUAUAAACACAGAUUUCAAUUUUUUACUGAGUUCAUUUUCUGACUAUAUUCACACUUUAGAGAGCCACUGAAAUAUUACAUCCACAUUUCAGAUGCUUAUAUUUUCUCCUUGUAUAAAUUCAUGAAGCAAGCCACGUGUUAAAUGGUGCAUUGUUUACAUCAUUUCCUAACAUGUAGUAAGCAAAACCAUUUUGUAAGUUCUGCUACGAAAAGAAAACAUUCAAAAUCUUUGUCCGCAGGGGUAACUUAAAUACUCUGCCAUGCUUCAUGGCUAGAAAAUUGGUACCCACUAUACUCACAAAUAAACCGCUGCCC
rnacentral:lncRNA from 7 species